AGGGUGCUUGUACUGCCUUCCAAAGUGAAGAGGAGAUGAACAUGGCUUUGCAUAGCUGUUGUUCUAUGCCAACUUACCUACUCUUGGUGGUACCGUAGUGCUAUAUUGCAAAUUUCGUGGACGAACAACUCCAGUCACGAGUGGCUAGUGAGCAACACUAACAGAGCCUUGACGUUGCUGGACGAGCGACAAUAUAAAUUACAUAAACAUGUAGCUCGUGAUGUGGGAUGACUGCCGUAUCGCAUUGCCAACGCAAACCCAUCCUGUGUCAGUGCAGCCAUCCAGCAACUUGAACUCCCCGGACCAGAUGCCGCUGCAGCUGAACACCAUGCCGAUGGAAAGCCAGGAGUUGAUAGCGAAGCAUUCUGGUCUGCACAGUACAAGGCAAAGAACAAUUAUGAAUUAUAAUGCAUUGUAAUCUUUCCCACACUUCUUUGUAAAAACAAACAAACAGUGCCAUUAUGACAA